rnacentral:rRNA from 1 species
UACGUAGGGUGCGAGCGUUGUCCGGAAUUAUUGGGCGUAAAGAGCUUGUAGGCGGUUUGUCGCGUCUGCUGUGAAAAUCCGGGGCUCAACCCCGGACUUGCAGUGGGUACGGGCAGACUAGAGUGUGGUAGGGGAGACUGGAAUUCCUGGUGUAGCGGUGAAAUGCGUAGAUAUCGGGAGGAACACCUGUGGCGAAGGCGGCCCCCUGGUUGGAUACUGACGCUGAUACGCGAAAGCGUGGGGAGCAAACAGG